rnacentral:rRNA from 1 species
UACGUAGGGGGGCAAGCGUUGUCCGGAUUUAUUGGGCGUAAAGAGCGUGUAGGCGGCUUGGUAGGUCCGCUGUGAAAACUCGAGGCUCAACCUCGAGAUGUCGGCGGAAACCACUUGCUAGAGUCCGGAAGAGGAGAGUGGAAUUCCUGGUGUAGCGGUGAAAUGCGCAGAUAUCAGGAAGAACACCUAUGGCGAAGGCAGCUCUCUGGGACGGUACUGACGCUGAGACGCGAAAGCGUGGGGAGCGAACAGG